rnacentral:tRNA from 1 species
GGGAUGUAGCGCAGCUUGGUAGCGCAUCCGCUUUGGGAGCGGAGGGUCGCAGGUUCAAAUCCUGUCAUCCCGACA